rnacentral:rRNA from 1 species
AGGACGAACGCUGGCGGCGUGCUUAACACAUGCAAGUCGAGCGGAAAGGCCCUUCGGGGUACUCGAGCGGCGAACGGGUGAGUAACACGUGAGUAAUCUGCCCCUAGCUCUGGGAUAGCUCCGGGAAACCGGGAUUAAUACCGGAUACGACCACUUUAGACAUCUGUUGUGGUGGAAAGAAUUUUGGCUAGGGAUGAGCUCGCGGCCUAUCAGCUUGUUGGUGGGGUAACGGCCUACCAAGGCGACGACGGGUAGCCGGCCUGAGAGGGCGACCGGCCACACUGGGACUGAGACACGGCCCAGACUCCUACGGGAGGCAGCAGUGGGGAAUCUUGCGCAAUGGACGAAAGUCUGACGCAGCAACGCCGCGUGAGGGACGAAGGUUUUCUGAAUUGUAAACCUCUUUCGACAGGGACGAUAAUGACGGUACCUGUAGAAGAAGCACCGGCCAACUAUGCGCCAGCAGCCGC